UAUUUCAGUCUGCACGUUGGAUAGAAAAACAAGUUGAAGUUUUAAGCUGAACUAUAAACAAACGACGUCGCAGCGUGUGGAUGUUUGUUGAUAUCCAUUUUAAGAAAAGACCCGAAUGACCCGGGUGGUUAUAAAGGUCUCUAAUAAAUUAUAAUAAUAAUAAUUUUAGGAAAAAAUGUGUAUGAGAUUAAAAUUGUGGAUGGAUUUUUUUUUUGGAUAACCAGUUGAAUUCGCAAUUUCGUUACAUUUUUUCGGGUUUAUCCAGGAAUUGAACGAGAAAGUGCAAUUGCUGGUUCUGAUGGUGAGUUAUAUUUAUUUUGUAUUUUAUAUUGUUUAGGACUUUUUUCUACCUAUGAAUUUUGAUAACAUUUUUUCCUUUCUCACUCAAUUUCAGAUAAACAAACUCGAAGCAUCGUAUUUUAUGACCAAAAAAGAUCAUGUAACUAAGAAGAGCCGUUUGGUGGACGACUCCGAAAAUUUACUCGGUCCGUAUUAAUUUAAGAUUAAGAUUUUCUUCAAAAGUUUUCUCAGUGCAAUGCUAAAUUUAAAAAUAAUUAUGCUACCGCCCGGUGCGCGAAAGAGUGUGUAUCCCAAAACCGGUCCGCUGAAAUGAGCAAAACCGGGCCGCGUAUACUCACUUAUUGGUGCGUUUGCUCUUAUUGAGAACCUCCACUAUCUGUCAAAUAACGGGUCAUUAUAUCGGAUCAAUAUUACCCCUUAUUUCGAAAAGCUCGAAUCCUUUCAAAAGGGGUAGUUUUAGAUGCGUUACAUCCAAAGUGAUUGAUUUGGCACGAUGAAAGAGGUUGUGGAAACACAGCAAAGUUCCGGACUCCGGACGAACCAGAAGAAAACCAGAAGGAUUCAACAUGAACGGCAGUGGACUAACAUUGGUGGAUUCAACUUAGAGCAAGUCCAAUGGUGUUGGGAAAAAGUGGUAGGAAUUUAGACGUCUGUAGCACAGAUGGGAAUUUUUCUAUCGUGAAAUAUAGACCAAAAAUGUUGGCCGUCCACCGGUGUGAUAGAAUACGAAGGUAUAAAAUCGAAAGCAACCAGCGAUGCCAAGAGAAUUUGCUUUUCAGUAAUUUUACAAAGUUUUUGUAUUUUGAAUUCACCGUUUGAAAAUUGAAAUCAAAUUCAUUUUACUUGAUCAUUAACUUGAAAUAGUAAGUAGUGUCCAUAUGAAAAUUUGAUUAUUUAUAUGCAUGAAUAAGUAUUGUUUAAGUUAUAAUGCAUUCAAAUAUUAAACUAUAUUCUGCAGAAUUAGGUGUUUUGUAUUGAAGUGCAUUUGAUAACACGAGUUGAUCAAGUUUUUUAUUUCUUCCUAAAACCUUCAUUUUCAAAGUGAUAAUUAAGUAAGUGACAAAUAGAAAGUAUAGGUAUUUCAGACACAUUUCUUAUUCCAUAAAACCGUCAUUCAAAUUCAAAAUUAAAAAAAAAAUUUUUCAUUAAAACCAAAUAACUUCGAUAAAUUAAGUUUGCUUUUAAUAUUAAAAACUAAAUUUUUGUUUUAACUUUGUUUAACUUAUUCAUUUAAGGUAAAAAAAAGAUUUAGGUAAUCAAUUCUCAUUACAAAACGUAUAAAUUGGAGAAGCUGUAUUAUGUUUGCCAUGAUCGAGACGUCAUUUAGUCUUAUUUAUGCCAUUGCAAAUUUAUGUCUCAAAGCAUAAUUAUGUUACUGCUUGGAACUGUUGCAUGGGACGUUUGUUCUGCAGUUCACUUAAGAUAAAAAAAACUCAUGAAAAACGUAUUUAAAUCAUCAGUCAGUUGUUAUUAUAGUUAUUCUAUAAUACUGGUAUUGUAACGUUCUGCCAAUGUAGCACACAUGAAAGUGAUUUUGGUAUUUGAAGGACUUUUCGAAUUUAAAGGUUUCACAUAUAAUUUGAAUAAAGAGUUUUUGUUUCGUAGCUUUUCAAACAAACUUAUAUUUCCGACCGUUUCUUUUCUUGUUCUUUCUUUGAACAUCUAACCAGGUCACACCUGUGGAACUUUUCGAUUGCAAAAUCAUUCCUGCCCGUGUUUGAACAGAGGGAUCAGAGAUCCAACCCAUCGGAAGCCAAACUUGAUGCAUUCCGGCAGCACAACCUAAAAUUUGGGAUAUGGGUUUUGAUUUUAAAUAAUUUACCGACUUUUGAGAACACCUACCUGAUACAAACAUUCAAUUUCCGAUGUUUCUUCGUUUCAAUAAGCUGCAAUUUGUCCGGGUUGCGCUGGGACCGAAAAAUUCAUUGGAAGCUGAAUUUUACUCCCGAUACGACGCCUGCGUUUGAUAUAAUUGACACUUGUCAAAUUAACAGCGAGGGUGAUGGAACCAUUAAAGGCGGUGUUCCGAACUUGUUACCGGACAUUCCGACGGAAUACCUUUUUCAAAUAAAAAUAAAUGAAACACUUUCCUUCUCCCGAAAACCGCUCAAACAAAACAAACAAAUCGAAUUUAUUUAUUCACACAGCUAUCUGGCAUCUCUGCCCCUAAAAAUGCAUGAUAGCCCAUUCGAUUGGCAAGGGCAUGAACAAAAUUGGUUGUAAAUUUUAAAAAAGUUGAUUUACUUCUUUGCAAUUAGUAUCAAUUCAAGUGAUAAAAGCAUUUUUUUUAAAGAAAAUAUCACUUUAUGUUUAAAUCCUGAAAUUGCUCAAUUUCCUUUAUUUUCCCCUCAACUGAGGUUUUCAGUAUAAGAUAGAUGGCAGCACCGAAUCGCUUCAUGCACGAAUACUGUAUUGCAACGCCGACUCUAUCACUCGGUUCGGUGUUGCAAAACAUUGCGUUUUUCUAUCACCCUCAGCCAAAAAGUGUUAUACGAUACAAAUUUUGCAGCGCGAAACUGUUCGAAUAUCAGAUUUUCCCAACACCGGUGGACGGCAAAUGUGUUGUGAUGUGAUGUAAACCAUCGAAAUUUCCAACUCCAUCUCAACCAGUGAACUUGCUCUUAUAGCGAGGAAACGGAGGAGAUGAAAACCAAAUCAAUGAGUCCAGCCAUUGAGGGUAGUCUUGGAACUUUGUAAGCUUUCGAAUUUAAUUAGCUCUUGGGAAAAUUUACCUCUGCAAGGGGAACUGAACUGAAUGAGGAGGAUUCGAUUGUCCUAGAGCCAGUUGAAGGAAAACUGCAGAAACUAUGUGGGAGCUGUGGACACGUCGAAGAAUAAGCAAGUCUCUUCCAAUCUUUGGCUGGUUGUAAGAAUUCGAUUCCGUCCUCACGAUGAAGGUCCAACUUUGUCCCACAAGCAGCCAAAUUGGGACAAUGAAAAAUACCCAAAAGAUUUUUAAAAAUGUUGCUAGUGAUACUUAAUUGGAAAAUAAAUAAUUUUUAUCAUUUAA